rnacentral:hammerhead_ribozyme from 1 species
ACCAGCCGACGAGUCCCAAAUAGAACGAAACGCUCGUCUUAAAU